GCCUGGGUGGCUCAGUCGGUUAAGCGUCCGACUUCAGCUCGGGUCAUGAUCUCGCGGUUCGUGAGUUCGAGCCCCGCGUCGGGCU
rnacentral:tRNA from 1 species